AAAAGAGAAGAUAAGGGAAGGGAAUAAGAGAAGAAGUUGAGUCAGACCCACCUAUUUUCCAACGUUUCUCGCGACGGCGCAUGAACUCACGCGCUACCAGUGGCGGUGGCACGUGGAGAAGAUACGUCGCCACUGUUCAUAUUGUCCCUGGGCUUCACAGAACCCUUCCCUACAAUUCCUGGAGUUUUAGAGGCUGUUUUGUAAUUUUUAAAGUGUUUAAUGUAUUUUUUGUUUAGUUUUUGAAUU